GCUGCCAGUUGCCAACGGGUGAAGCCGGGCACUCUGGCGGGACUGCCAUCGACAAGAUGGAGGAAGGUGGGGACGACGUCAAGUCAUCAUGGCCCUUAUGUCCAGGGCGGACACACGUGCUACAAUGGCCGGCACAGCGGGAAGCGAGGCAGUGAUGCCAAGCGGAUCCCUUAAAGCCGGUCUCAGUUCGGAUUGAAGUCUGCAACUCGACUUCAUGAAGCUGGAAUCGCUAGUAAUCGCAGAUCAGCCAAGCUGCGGUGAAUACGUUCCCGGGCCUU
rnacentral:rRNA from 1 species